rnacentral:rRNA from 1 species
UACGUAGGCAGCGAGCGUUGUUCGGAAUUACUGGGCGUAAAGCGUGCGUAGGCGGUGCCUCAAGUUUGGUGUGAAAUCUCCCGCUCAACCGGGAGGGUGCGCCGAAAACUGAGGUGCUCGAGUGUGGGAGAGGUAAGCGGAAUUCCUGGUGUAGCGGUAAAAUGCGCAGAUAUCAGGAGGAACACCUAUGGCGAAGGCAGCUCGCUGGGACGUUACUGACGCUGAGACGCGAAAGCGUGGGGAGCAACAGG